AAUAUUGUUAUAAUGAUAAACUUAUGUGGGUAAAUAGAUCGAUCUAUCAUUGAUCCGCUCAUACAUAUGUAUGUGUGAGUGUGUGUGUGAGUAACACGCACCCACUUACAGAAAACUGUUUUAUACAUCUACUGAUGUCAAAGAUUGUGUUUACUUAUUUUUAUGUUUAUUUUCUGUCUAUUGGUUUGGUAAGAAAUAUGAAAAUAGAAUUCUUAUAAAAUACAUAAAUGUUUUGAAAGUAAAUUCGGUUUAAAAUUUAAAUAUGUAGAUUUAUCAUCAUGGGCACUGGUGGUGACAUUUAAUUUGAAUUAAGUAAGAGAUUGAUUGUAUUCCUUCAAGCACUCAAGGGUACUCAAAGAAUAUUACCUUCAAAUUUUGUUCUACCCACUAGUUCCGAGGAAAAACCGAGAGACAUAAAAAAAUUCAAUUGAUAAUUUAAAUCGCUGGUAAAAUAAUUCCUAGAAACAAUGUGGUUUCCUUCGAUCAACAAUAGUAACUAGAUUUCGGGUCGGUGCAUAAAAUCCGUCUCGUCAAAUAACAGCGCACUUGAAAUGUGAGCUCUUAUUUUGUUUAGUUCACUUCAAACACAGCCAAUGUCAACCCGUCUCACAAUACCGCAGUGUGUAUUCAAAAGUUGCAAAAAUAAGGCCCGAAAAAGCAAUUUAACGGCCGGAGUAUCUUACUUUCGCUUUCCUAGCAAUCACGUGUGCAGAAUGGAUCUCGAUUGUCGCCAGAGAAACAAGAGAUGACUUUUAUAAGCCAGCUAACAUCUCCGCUUAUUGACACUGGACAUCUUUGCCUUCCGUGCUCACGGCUACUGAAAUGUGGCCGAAACAUUGUAAUAAAAAUACCGCGCUUGAAACCGUUUAAA